CCGGGUGCGUAACACGUAGCUAACCUAGCCCGACGCGGGGGAUACCAGCGCGAAAGCGCUGCUAAUACCGCAUGAACCUGGGAUGAAUAGAGUGUUCCAGGAAAACUUACGGGGUGUCGGGGGGGGGCUGCGGCCCAUCAGGUAGUUGGUGGAGUAAUGGUUCACCAAGCCAACGACGGGUAGGGGGCCUGAGAGGGUGGUCCGCCACACUGGGACUGAAAGACGGCCCAGACUCCUACGGGAGGCAGCAGUAAGGGAUAUUGCGCAAUGGGCGAAAGCCUGACGCAGCAACGCCGCGUGGAGGAUGACGGCCUUCGGGUUGUAACCUCCUUUGGACGCUGACGAGCGAGGACGGUAAGCGUCGAACAAGUCACGGCUAACUACGUGCCAGCAGCCGCGGUAAAACGUAGGUGGCAAGCGUUAUCCGGAUUUACUGGGCGUAAAGCGUGUGCAGGCGGGCUGCCAAGUGGUGUAUGAAAUCGCCCGGCUCAACCGGGCGGGGUUAUGCCAGACUGGUGGUCUAGAGGAGGCGAGAGGGACGUGGAAUUCCGGGUGUAGUGGUGAAAUGCGUAGA
rnacentral:rRNA from 1 species